rnacentral:rRNA from 1 species
GACGAACGCUGGCGGCGUGCUUAACACAUGCAAGUCGAACGGAGUGGCGAACGGGUGAGUAACACGUGGGUGACCUGCCCUGCACUUCGGGAUAAGCCUGGGAGACUGGGUCUAAUACCGGCGAGUGUGGGAUGGGCCGGCGGCCUAUCGGCUUGUUGGUGGGGUAAUGGACUACCAAGGCGGGGACGGGUAGCCGGCCUGGGAGGGUGGACGGCCACAUGGGGACUGCGGCACGGACCAGACUCCUACGGGAGGCAGCAGUGGGGAAUAUUGCACAAUGGGCGGAAGCCUGAUGCAGAGACGCCGCGUGGGGGAUGACGGCCUUCGGGUUGUAAACUUCUUUCAGCAUCGACGCGGUAGAUGGAGAAGAAGCACCGGCUAACUACGUGCCAGCAGCCGCGGUAAUAC